rnacentral:rRNA from 1 species
GAGUGAAAUAGAACCUGAAACCGUGUGCUUACAAGUAGUCAGAGCCCGUUAAUGGGUGAUGGCGUGCCUUUUGUAGAAUGAACCGGCGAGUUACGAUUUGAUGCAAGGUUAAGCAGUAAAUGUGGAGCCGUAGCGAAAGCGAGUCUGAAUAGGGCGUUUAGUAUUUGGUCGUAGACCCGAAACCAGGUGAUCUACCCUUGGUCAGGUUGAAGUUCAGGUAACACUGAAUGGAGGACCGAACCGACUUACGUUGAAAAGUGAGCGGAUGAACUGAGGGUAGCGGAGAAAUUCCAAUCGAACCUGGAGAUAGCUGGUUCUCUCCGAAAUAGCUUUAGGGCUAGCCUCAAGUGAUGAUUAUUGGAGGUAGAGCACUGUUUGGACGAGGGGCCCCUCUCGGGUUACCGAAUUCAGACAAACUCCGAAUGCCAAUUAAUUUAACUUGGGAGUCAGAACAUGGGUGAUAAGGUCCGUGUUCGAAAGGGAAACAGCCCAGACCACCAGCUAAGGUCCCAAAAUAUAUGUUAAGUGGAAAAGGAUGUGGCGUUGCCCAGACAACUAGGAUGUUGGCUUAGAAGCAGCCAUCAUUUAAAGAGUGCGUAAUAGCUCACUAGUCGAGUGACACUGCGCCGAAAAUGUACCGGGGCUAAACAUAUUACCGAAGCUGUGGAUUGUCCUUUGGACAAUGGUAGGAGAGCGUUCUAAGGGCGUUGAAGCAUGAUCGUAAGGACAUGUGGAGCGCUUAGAAGUGAGAAUGCCGGUGUGAGUAGCGAAAGACGGGUGAGAAUCCCGUCCACCGAUUGACUAAGGUUUCCAGAGGAAGGCUCGUCCGCUCUGGGUUAGUCGGGUCCUAAGCUGAGGCCGACAGGCGUAGGCGAUGGAUAACAGGUUGAUAUUCCUGUACCACCUAUAAUCGUUUUAAUCGAUGGGGGGACGCAGUAGGAUAGGCGAAGCGUGCGAUUGGAUUGCACGUCUAAGCAGUAAGGCUGAGUAUUAGGCAAAUCCGGUACUCGUUAAGGCUGAGCUGUGAUGGGGAGAAGACAUUGAGUCUUCGAGUCGUUGAUUUCACACUGCCGAGAAAAGCCUCUAGAUAGAAAAUAGGUGCCCGUACCGCAAACCGACACAGGUAGUCAAGAUGAGAAUUCUAAGGUGAGCGAGCGAACUCUCGUUAAGGAACUCGGCAAAAUGACCCCGUAACUUCGGGAGAAGGGGUGCUCUUUAGGGUUAACGCCCAGAAGAGCCGCAGUGAAUAGGCCCAAGCGACUGUUUAUCAAAAACACAGGUCUCUGCUAAACCGUAAGGUGAUGUAUAGGGGCUGACGCCUGCCCGGUGCUGGAAGGUUAAGAGGAGUGGUUAGCUUCUGCGAAGCUACGAAUCGAAGCCCCAGUAAACGGCGGCCGUAACUAUAACGGUCCUAAGGUAGCGAAAUUCCUUGUCGGGUAAGUUCCGACCCGCACGAAAGGCGUAA